AUAAUUAGAGAUUGUGUACUCCCUGGAGUAGUGACUAUCUCAGUAAACAAGACAAAGGAUGAGAAAAAGGAAGUGGUAUUGUUCUCAUUGUACAAACAGUGCACUGAGAAACUGGCAAAUUAAAUGAUUCGCCCAAGUUCAUGCAAGAAGUCUUUGGCAGAAUUUGGUAAACAAGGCUUCUUGUUUUGUUUGCCUUCUAGGAAAAUGACUACAAUGUAGAUAUUUAGUGGAUUGAUCCCUUUCUGCAAAAGAAAGAAAAUGUUGUUUUAAAUGUCAAAAUAAUUACAGAUUUUUUUUCCCCAGUUUAUUUCCAUUCAUCUUUCUAUUUAAAAAGAGGCUACUAGGAGAGGAAAGAGUUGAGACCUAGUGAGGAAAAACAGUACGCUAAAAUUCUGAUUAAAAACGACACAAUCUCCUCACAGUUGCCAGGUUCAUUAAAAAAAAAAUCUGAAAAUUUGUCAAUAUGGAAAAAAGGACCCCAUUUUAUGAGAGACACGGUUCAUUUACUCUCUUAUUUUUCCCUCUUCUACCACACACAUUCAAGCUCCCAAACCAAGGCUGAGAUGAAGCCAGCAGAGAUAUUUGGCCCCACACCCAUGAGGCUGCUGGGGAAGUCAGCCCAGCACACCCUGCUCAUUUCCAUGACCGACUGUUCCUUCUCGUUUGGGCUGAGCUCUAGUGCUCCCCUGCCCAAACUGAUCAGGUGGGACAAGCGCUGGGGUCAGGAUGAAGCUGUAGCUCACAGAGUGUUUGGAGAUGGGAGAGGUGUGCUGUACAGUACGUGUAGGUUUAGGGAACCAAGGGCCUCCACAGCUGGAACUUGCAGCACUGGGGGAAUUCCAGGAGGGCUGUUGCAAAAGGCUUGUGACAAUUGUUGACCCUGAGCUCUUCUCCAUUAUGGGUGUGUAAGCCCAUAAUUCUUUAUCCUCCCUACCUCAGGUGGACCUCAAAAUAGACUUCUUGCAGCAAUUUCCUGCCACGUCUGCACCAGCCAAAACCUGCCCUUUGGUUGCAGAGCUCUCAGGAGCUUAUUUCACUCCUCCAGUUCUUCAUGUGGUGUCAAGACUGCAGAAUACCGAUAAGGAUCCUAUUCCUGAUGCUUUUCAACAUGAAUACAUGAAACAGAGGUGCUGGAUGCACAACAGAAAAGUCUCUUCUUCCAUCCCUGAUCCAUCCUGCUUCUCCUUUAGUACAUUGGAGAGGUAGCUCCUCCACUAUGGUAACUCAGGAAAACUUGGCUGACAACAGCAAAGCCGCCACAAGAGACAGGGGCAUGAGGAACAGCCUGGGAGGUACCACAUGGAGUAUGCGCUGCCUGUGCACAUAAAACGCGCCUUAAAAGAAGGCGAAGAGACCAGCGGGGCCCCACCGGCGGCUUCGCAUGGCUCCUGCAGCCCCCCCACCUUCUGGACAGGCGCCUGCUGGUGACUCAUGGUCGGCAGGGAGGCCAUUGCAGGUGAGAUGGGGCGGCACUGCCUGUGCUGGAGGGGACGGGGCAGGCGGAGCCGGUGCCCGCGGCCCGCCCUGGCCCGGCGAGCGGCGCCCGUUGCGGGCAGGCGGCCGUUGGGGGCGACGGUUGGGCGCGACCGUUGCGGUUCCCGGCGCGAGCCAGAGGGGGCGCGCGGCCGCGGGCGCUGAGGCGGCGGUGCCGGGAGGGGCGGGCGGCGGCCGCGCCCUCUGACCGUCCCCAUCAUCCCCAGACCGUCCCCAUCGUCCCCGGACCUUCCCCGCAAGCGUCCGGCCGGAGGCUCCGGGUCCCUCCAGGGACGGUUCCCUACUCCGGCCCGGCGUGGCAGGGCUGUCCCGCUAACGGGAUACUGGCUUUGGAGGCUCCCACCCCGCACAGCCAGAACUUCGAUGGCCUCUUGAGAUGCGUGGGAGAUUGAUUUUUCCUAAUUUUUUAAGUACCAAGUAUAUCUAGUGUACUUAUUUCUCCUAAUUAAUGUGAAAAUAAAGAAUCAAAGAGGGUAUUCC